GGGAGACUCUGGCAUUUUAGAACACACAGUCAUUCUUAAUCUCAUGUUGCUUCAGACACACCACUGCUCCAGGCCAGCAAGAAUGUUUUUCUGGUUUAGGGUGAAGCCACUCAUUUAUGGUCUGCAGCCAAACCUGCAAAAUCUCCAAGGUCUGCCAGUAUUAGCAAAGGGAACAAUUCUCUCCAAAAAUGCACCAUAAACAAGUUAGAUGCAGCUCAGGAAUGCGACAAUAUUUUAAUAUAAGAAAAUGGCUUAUAAAGAUACGUGGCCCUCCCAACCUGGGAACUUGUAAAAUAACGAUCACCGCUGCACAGAUGAUACAUGGCCUCAGAAUGGUGUUGUCCAGCCCUGGGAUUUCCUUCAAAAGUAUUGGCUUACCAGUGCGGGACUCAGAAAGACUACAGUGUGACUUUUUAGUACAAGAAGUUUCAUCUAGUCGGAAGGCCUAAGGUAGAAAUAAUCAGAAAUCACCAGGGAAGACUUUUGCUGUCAUCAUUUACACUGCACUGUUCCAGACUCUUAUCAACAUAUUGUCCCUUUCUGCUUUUACUCUUUUGGUAGAAAAUGCCUGCAAUCAUUUGAAAUAUAGGCAUUUCCCAGCA